rnacentral:ncRNA from 1 species
UUUCCCCUCCUGAUGAAGCGUGGUGCCCACAGUAAUCCUGCUCAGUCGAAGAGGACCCCCAGAUUCAGACAUUUGGUUCAUGUGCUUGGCUGAUAAGCCAAUGGUGCGAAGCUACCAUCUGAGGGAUUAUGACUGAACGCCUCUAAGUCAGAAUCCCGCCUGGAAAGCGACGAUGCAUUCGUGCCUCGGCCUCGAGAGGCGUAGCUAGACGGCCGCGUGGCCGUGGAAAGAGCCCGAUUCCGACCCGAGAGGCCGCGGCAAGAGGCGGCCUCGAAGUCGGUGGAUCCUCCUGCUCGAAAGGCGGGGUGCUAAACCAUUCGCAGACGACCUAGUUGAAGAUCGGGGUGUCGUGAUCACUAGAGCAGUACAUCUCACUGCGAUUUGUUGAGAGUAAGCCUCAAGAUCUGUCGGUUUGU